CCAAGGAGGGCGCCGGGCAGCCGUGCGGAGGCGGUGCGGAGCCGCCCGGCGCGCGCCGGUCCCCACAGCGUGACGGUGGCAAGUUACGGACCCAGGUCUCCCCAUUUGUAAAAGCGGUUAGGAAGCCCAGGCCCAGAAUGCAGGCGACUUGCCCAGUUUCAGGUGUACAACAUAAUCAUUCAGUGAUUACAUACGUCACAAAACGCUCACCUCGGAGUCUGGGGGCCACGGGGCUUUCAGCUGCGCCAAGAAGGCGAAAAUCCUAUCCCCGCAGCACCCCUUCCCGCCUUCGGUGACACGAGUUACUGCUGUCGGCGGUUCCAGGGAUCGCUCAACGUCACAGUGACAAGGGAUCUCGGCAGCUUAGUGGCAUAGAUGACGGCAGAGUGCCUGGAGCCAGACAUAUUUCAACUUGGGCCAAGUAACGGAAACUUCUAAGUGCCUCAGUCUUCGCAUCUGUAAGAUGGGAAUAAUGAUUAUACUUACCUCAUAGAGUUGCUGUAGGGACUUUGAGGCCUUGGCAGGCUUUGGAUGCUUAGGACAUUGGGAUCGAUGAAUAUUAAUUAUGAGUAUGAAUAUUUUGGGAAACAUCAAGAUUAGAUGGUCUUUAAAGUUCCUUUUAGCACCAGCAGCCUAUGAUUAGUGUUUCCCAAAAGUUAAUUUCCUGGAACACCAGUUCCAUGGACUGUUCAUAACUGUUGGAUGAGGAGAGGGUUGCUUGGUUCAAUUGGACUGGAGGAAUGCUGAAUUUCACAGGGUUUGUUGUCACUGGAUUUAAGUGUAGGCUUUAUCAGAGCCGUACAUGUGCAAGGUCGGUCAAAGUUGGGGGAAUGGGCUAAGUUUUUCCACUUAUUUGGCCUUCGAGGGCUUUCCUCACCGUGCGUGUUGCUGGAAGUUUGGAAAAUGCUCCGCUAUAGCGUUUAGAACUUUAAGGUCUUCCUUCUAGGUCUCUGACUUUGAGAUUCUCGGAUGUCCGGUCCCUUCUGUAGAUGAGAAACACACAGCCCUUGGCAAUGCCUGGCUGCAUCCCGUUUCCUGGUUCCCCGUAGCCCUAGUUAUCUAAUGUAAAUAAGGGCACCAGUGAGGCUAAUGUUUGCCCUGAGGGAAGAUGGAUCUGACCUGUGGCCUCAGGCGCCCAAAGGCGGCGAACUCUGGGCUAAGCUGGGCUGGUGCAGAGCUGGACAUGGGGAGGGGGCCUGACCUUGGAGCUGCUGCCUGGGCCUGGUGGGGGCAGCCAGAGGGAAGUGGGGGCUCGAGGGAGACACCGGCAGCCAGCGGACAAGCUGCAGGACACGGGUGCCCCCCGAGGGAGGCCGGGCUCUCCUGCGGGGUCCGCAGGGGGGCAGUCAGGCCUGAACCCGUGGGUCCCCUCAGAAAGGCCCACUGAACACCCUGCCUCCCCAGGGGCCUGAGGCGCAGACAGGGAGCUGCCCCCUUGGUCUAGAGAUGCUGUGGAGCCAGGAAGUGGGAUAGGAGGCUCCGCAGGAGUCUAAUUGGUGUGUUAAAGGAGAUGAGGCGGAAGGAAGCUGGCAGGAGUGCCCAGGCUCUGGGGAGGAGGGAGGAGGCUGCCUGGUGGAGACAGGGAAGAGAAUGCCCGCCUUCUCCUCUAGCCUUAGGGUCCAGCUCAGACAACGCCUUUUCCAGAACUUUCCUGGAUCCCUCACUGGAGCUGGAGGUUCCGCUCCCCUUGCCUGGCUGCAGUGCUCACCUUUCUGCCCUCAGCUCUGCAGGGCUCUGAGCUCCCAGGGGGCCAGCAAGUCCCCUCAGUGUCCGGUGCAAGGCCUGGUAGGAGCCGCUGCUCAGAAAAUGCUGUUCAGGGGCGUCUGGGUGGCUCGGUCAGUUAAGCGUCCGACUUCUGAUUUCAGCUCAGGUCAUGAUCUCAGGGUUUCAUGGGUUUGGCCCCUUAUUCGGCUCUGAGCGGGCAGCGCAGAGCCUGCUUGGGAUUCUCUCUCUCCCUCUCUCUGCUCCUUCCCCACUCAUGCUGUCUCUCUCAAGAUAAAUAAAUAAAACUUAAAAAAAAAAAAGAAAAGAAAAUGCUGUUCAACCCAGGAAGCUGCUAAGUCUGGGGUGCGGAUGAGAGGAACCUCCCCUCAAGGGGGAGGGGAGGUGGCCUUGGCAGGAAGGCCUUUAGUGACUCAUACCUCCUGUCCUUCCAGUGGCCCCGGGCCCCUGCAA